rnacentral:rRNA from 1 species
ACACGUAGGGAGCGAGCGUUGUCCGGAAUUACUGGGUGUAAAGGGUGCGUAGGCGGGACGGCAAGUCAGAUGUGAAAUACCGGGGCUCAACCCCGGGGCUGCAUUUGAAACUGUCGUUCUUGAGGGAGGUAGAGGUAAGCGGAAUUCCUAGUGUAGCGGUGAAAUGCGUAGAUAUUAGGAGGAACACCAGUGGCGAAGGCGAUCUACUGGACGAUAACUGACGCUGAGGCGCGAAAGCGUGGGGAGCAAACAGGAUUAGAUACCCUGGUAGUCCACGUCGUAAACGAUGAAUACUAGGUGUGGGUGGGACUGACCCCAUCCGUGCCGCAGCUAACGCAAUAAGUAUUCCACCUGGGGAGUACGGCCGCAAGGCUGAAACUCAAAUGAAUUGACGGGG